ensembl:miRNA mdo-mir-26-3 mdo-mir-26-3
ACCUGGUUCAAGUAAUCCAGGAUAGGCUGGACCCAUUCUCAUCGGCCUAUUCUCGACUACUUGCACUCGG